GUUUACACAUGAAGUCGAACGGAAACGAAAAUAGCUUGCUAUUUGGCGUCGAGUGGCGAACGGGUGAGUAACGCGUAGGAAUCUACCCAGUAGAGGGGGAUAGCCCGAAGAAAUUCGGAUUAAUACCGCAUAAUCUCUACGGAGUAAAGAAGGCCUCUUUACAAUGCUUUUACUAUUGGAUGAGCCUGCGUUAGAUUAGUUAGUUGGUAGGGUAAAAGCCUACCAAGGCGACGAUCUAUAGCUGGUUUUACGAGAAUGAUCAGCCACACUGGAACUGAGACACGGUCCAGACUCCUACGGGAGGCAGCAGUGAAGAAUAUUGGACAAUGGGGGAAACCCUGAUCCAGCAAUGUUGCGUGUGUGAAGAAGGUCCGAGGAUUGUAAAGCACUUUCAGUAAGCAAGAAAAAUGUAAAUCUAAUAGAUUUGCAUGUUGACCACUUAUAGAAGAAGCACCGGCUAACUCCGUGCCAGCAGCCGCGGUAAUACGGAGGGUGCGAGCGUUAAUCGGAAUUACUGGGCGUAAAGGGUAAGUAGGCGGUUUAUAAAGUCACAUGUGAAAGCCCUAGGCUUAACC
rnacentral:rRNA from 1 species